AGGAAGGAGGAAGAAUCUAAUGAAAGUAAAAGGAAAAGAUGAGAACAGAGAAGGCAUACUUUCAGAAAGCAAAGGCAUGGUCUGGAAAGAAAAAGAACCAACCAAAAAGAAAAAUAAGCACUAGAAAGCAAAGCCAAAGGAGCAGGAAACAAAAGCCAAAAGGAAAAGAAAAAGAGCAAAGUAAACAAAGGGAAAAACAAAGCAACGCCCGAAAACCAAGAGCCAAGGAACAGAAUGAACAACCAAAAGGAAAGCAAACCAAAAAAAACAAACAAAGAUGAAAUGAA